UUAAGUUCAGCGGGUAUUCUUGUCUGAUCUGAGGUCAAACCUUGAGAUAGAUUCGAGGCGAGCCUUCCGAAACCCCUUCGUGGACGGUUCAUAAGUUUACUACGUCUUUCAUGGGCAGGCGGGCCGCUGGCUUUCCACUUUAGAGGCUCCCCUCUCGGAGAACCUCAAGACCCGACGGACGCUCAAAAAAAGAGAUCCGC
rnacentral:misc_RNA from 1 species